UGGCGGCGUGCUUACACAUGCAAGUCGCACGAGAACUCUUCUGCUUGCAGAAGAUAGUAAAGUGGCGCACGGGUGAGUAACGCGUGGGUAAUCUACCUCUGAAUUGGGGAUAACAUUGUGAAAGCGAUGCUAAUACCGAAUAAUAUCCCGAGAACUUAGGCUUUUGGGAUCAAAGGUGGCCUCUACAUGUAAGCUACUGUUUAGAGAUGAGCCCGCGUACCAUUAGCUUGUUGGUAGGGUAAUGGCCUACCAAGGCAACGAUGGUUAGCUGGUCUGAGAGGAUGAUCAGCCACACUGGAACUGACACACGGUCCAGACUCCUACGGGAGGCAGCAGUGAGGAAUUUUGCGCAAUGGGGGAAACCCUGACGCAGCAACGCCGCGUGAGUGAUGAAGGCUUUCGAGUCGUAAAGCUCUGUCAAGUGAGAAGAACCUACUUUUUGUUAAUACCAUUAAGUACUGACGGUAUCACUGAAGGAAGCACCGGCUAACUCCGUGCCAGCAGCCGCGUAAUACG
rnacentral:rRNA from 1 species